GGUUGAAGUUCAGGUAACACUGAAUGGAGGACCGAACCGACUUACGUUGAAAAGUGAGCGGAUGAACUGAGGGUAGCGGAGAAAUUCCAAUCGAACCUGGAGAUAGCUGGUUCUCUCCGAAAUAGCUUUAGGGCUAGCCUCAAGUGAUGAUUAUUGGAGGUAGAGCACUGUUUGGACGAGGGGCCCCUCUCGGGUUACCGAAUUCAGACAAACUCCGAAUGCCAAUUAAUUUAACUUGGGAGUCAGAACAUGGGUGAUAAGGUCCGUGUUCGAAAGGGAAACAGCCCAGACCACCAGCUAAGGUCCCAAAAUAUAUGUUAAGUGGAAAAGGAUGUGGCGUUGCCCAGACAACUAGGAUGUUGGCUUAGAAGCAGCCAUCAUUUAAAGAGUGCGUAAUAGCUCACUAGUCGAGUGACACUGCGCCGAAAAUGUACCGGGGCUAAACAUAUUACCGAAGCUGUGGAUUGUCCUUUGGACAAUGGUAGGAGAGCGUUCUAAGGGCGUUGAAGCAUGAUCGUAAGGACAUGUGGAGCGCUUAGAAGUGAGAAUGCCGGUGUGAGUAGCGAAAGACGGGUGAGAAUCCCGUCCACCGAUUGACUAAGGUUUCCAGAGGAAGGCUCGUCCGCUCUGGGUUAGUCGGGUCCUAAGCUGAGGCCGACAGGCGUAGGCGAUG
rnacentral:rRNA from 1 species